rnacentral:rRNA from 1 species
UACACCCUACGGGGGGCAGCAGUGGGGAAUAUUGCACAAUGGGGGAAACCCUGAUGCAGCGACGCCGCGUGAGUGAAGAAGUAUUUCGGUAUGUAAAGCUCUAUCAGCAGGGAAGAAAAUGACGGUACCUGACUAAGAAGCCCCGGCUAACUACGUGCCAGCAGCCGCGGUAAUACGUAGGGGGCAAGCGUUAUCCGGAUUUACUGGGUGUAAAGGGAGCGUAGACGGUGCAGCAAGUCUGAUGUGAAAGGUCGGGGCCCAACCCCGGGACUGCAUUGG